rfam:Arabidopsis thaliana chromosome 3, complete sequence.
ACAUGCGAUCAAACCAGCACUAAUGCACCGUAUCCCAUCAGAACUCCGUAGUUAAGGGUGCUUGGGCGAGUGUAGUACUCGGAUGGGUUACCUCUCAGAAAGUCCUCGUCUUAAAUCCC